rnacentral:rRNA from 1 species
AUUGAACGCUGGCGGCAGGCCUAACACAUGCAAGUCGAGCGGAUGAAGGGAGCUUGCUCCUGGAUUCAGCGGCGGACGGGUGUGUAAUGCCUAGGAAUCUGCCUGGUUGUGGGGGAUAACGUCCGGAAACGGGCGCUAAUACCGCAUACGUCCUGAGGGUGAAAGUGGGGGAUCUUCGGACCUCACGCUAUCAGAUGAGCCUAGGUCGGAUUAGCUAGUUGGUGGGGUAAAGGCCUACUAAGGCGACGAUCCGUAACUGGUCUGCGAGGAUGAUCAGUCACACUGGAACUGAGACACGGUCCAGACUCCUACGGGAGGCAGCAGUGGGGAAUAUUGGACAAUGGGCGAAAGCCUGAUCCAGCCAGGCCGCGUGUGUGAAGAAGGUCUUCGGAGUGUAAAGCACUUUAAGUGGGGAGGAAGGGCAGUAAGUUAAUACCUAGCUGUUUUGACGGUACCAACAGAAUAAGCACCGGCUAACUUCGUG